GAUGAAGAACGCAGCGAAAUGCGAUAAGUAAUGUGAAUUGCAGAAUUCAGUGAAUCAUCGAAUCUUUGAACGCACAUUGCGCCCGCCAGUAUUCUGGCGAGCAUGCCUGUUCGAGCGUCAUUUCAACCAUCAAGCCCCAGGCUUUUGUUGGAGCCCUGCGGCUGCCGCAGCCUCCCAAAACCAGUGGCGGGCUCGCUAUCACACCGAGUGCAGUAGUUUACUCUUCGCUCAGGGCGUGUGGCGGGUGCUAGCCGUGAAACCCCCAACUUCUCAAGGUUGACCUCGGAUCAGGUAGGAAUACCCGCUGAACUUAAGCAUAUCAAUAAGCGGAGGA
rnacentral:misc_RNA from 1 species